rnacentral:tRNA from 1 species
UGCGAGAUAGAGAAGCGGUUAACUAGUGUGGCUCAUAACCACAAGAUCGCAGGUUCGAAUCCUGCUCUCGCUACUA